rnacentral:misc_RNA from 1 species
AAGAGUUGCAAAACUCCCAAACCAUUGUGAACUUACCUUCAACGUUGCUUCGGCGGGUUGGCCCCGGUCUCCGGGGUCCCCGGCCCUAACGGGCGCCCGCCGGAGGUAUCUAACUCUUGAACUUUUAUGGCAUCUCUGAGUAUUGUACUUAAUAAGUCA